UGGUUACGAGUCUUCCCCGUAACAUGGAAGAAUCUAGUGAGGAUGAAGAUGACGAGGAAGAGAUGGAAGAGGGAUUACAUGGUUUUGAGAGUUAGAAGAUGCAAGGAUGUUCUUCUACAGUUUUCUAUUAUGGAAGUGGCUUCAAGAAUUAUGAUUACAUUUACUUUUGAAAUUUGAAUGCACAAAGAUGCAUGUUUGUUAUAAUGUUAAUGGGACAAUGUAAUUUGAAUUUUGUCUAAA